rnacentral:rRNA from 1 species
UACGGGGGGAGCAAGCGUUGUUCGGAAUCACUGGGCGUAAAGGGAGUCUAGGCGGUUUGGUAAGUGGGAUGUGAAAUCCCCGGGCUCACCCCGGGACCUGCAUCCCAAACUGCUGAGCUUGAGUACAGGAGAGGGUGGGGGAAUUCCUGGUGUAGCGGUGGAAUGCGCAGAUAUCAGGAGGAACACCGAUGGCGAAGGCAGUUCUCUGGGCCGUAACUGACGCUGAGGAGCGAAAGCGUGGGGAGCGAACAGG